GUCGACAUAAUCACAGGAGCCAAGAAGCUCUCUAGCUCAAACCCUAACAAGCAUAAAAUCAACAAAUUGAAGGGGUAAAUCUAACCCAAAACGAAAUCCAAGCACGAAUUCGUGAUCACCUCGGUGAAGGGAUCAUAAGGCAAGGAAACCGGGUCGUCAAGCGGACAAGCCAGUGACGAUACACGCUUGAAGGGAACGCUCUAAAGGUGUAGUUGGUGUUAUUCCGGAUGGUGAUCAAGCAAGAAUUCAAGAACCGAACACAAAAUUUUGAAGCUUCCGCGUUAAUUUAAUUUUGUUUUAGACAAUGUUCAUUUUGUAAACACCUAAAUUAGCAUUUUAAAUGUUUUAACUAGUUAGAUAGUUAACUAGAAUACUAUAACCAUGUAAGCUUAAUAUCAUAACUAAGUUUAUGCAAAUGAUGCAUUUGGUAUAAAAA